AAAUGAACGAUGAGUCUUUGUGAAUCUGAAAUCACAUUAACCAGUUCAAAUAUCAUUCUAAUGACCUUUGAUCACAAAGGUUUGUGUUUGUUUGCCCAGAGGUGAGAAAACCUACCAAUUAUUCUACACAAUUAACCAGUAACAAAAUAAAUGCACCUUGUGCCAUCAAACUAUUAAAGAAAACAAAGGUUGCAUUGAUUCCUUUUGCCAGAAUAAGUUUAUCUAUGUGUCUUCUGUUGAGUACAGUAGAAGAAUAAUGUCUUAUACAUUAUGUUAAUUAUCUUCUUUUAUAAGUUUGAAAGCAAGAUUUGAAAGAAAUUAAACCUUCCAACCAAUCCACAUUUAACCUUAUAUAUUGAUAUUUUCAACACGUCUUGAAUGCAGCAUCUGCCUGGGUGUAACCAAAACAGAAAGAGAAAGUCUUCAGACAUUUUACUUCACUGGAAUAGCAAAGUGAGCUUAAAGAGCGUCAAUUAAACAUGUCCUGGAAACACCUUUAAACUGUACUUACUGUAACAGCUGAGGGUAGCAGCUGCUGGAGAUCUGAAAACAUCUGGAAAUGAUCUACCAGGUUGUGGUCAGUGGGAUAGAUGGAGAGAAAACCACGAUUGACCUCUGCAACACAGAGCAGGAGAUGAAGAAAAUAACCGUGGAUCAGCUGAAAGAAAAGAUAUUUGAGAAGUUUUCUUGGUUCUCAGAACGUGCAAAAAAGGACCUACGAUUGAUCUUUGCGAGCAAAAGACUGGAUGACGACACAAAGAGGCUGUUUGACUAUGGAAUCACACACAAGUCCUACAUACAGAUGGUUUUAAGCUUAGAUGGUGGAGGAGAACCUGAACCGGGUUUUACUGACGAUGAGCUGGGUGACAAGGAGGGUGAAACUCGGAGAAGUAAAGAAUGUCUGAUGCCUGAUGUCUAAAACUCAAACCAAAACGCUUCGUUUCACACAUUAAAUGGAAUCACAUCGCUCCUCAUUCUCAAUUAAACCUUUUAAAAUAAGUUUAAAUAAAUAAAAUAUUCUGCCAGAUUCUGAAUGUACAUUAUCACAACUCUCUGUAUGAUCAGCAGAGAUAUUGCCUGUUUCUUGUUAUUUUCAGUGAGUCAAACAGAGAGAAAAAGCUUCAACAAACUUGUGUUUUGAAUUAAUAAAUAAAAUGUGGGAUUUAAAAACUGCUCUUUGCAGUUUAAACAAUGAAAACAAGGAAAUACAGCAGAUAAUGUAAGACAAUUUGCUGCAAACCUCAAGAGGAACAUUGUGAAAACCACAGAUGUGUCAAAUUCUGACCAAAUUCUAGAUUAAGAGCAGAAUCAAAGUGUUGGGAUUAAAAUGAUCUACAGGAUAUUCUCUCAGCUCCAGUUCUUGUGUUGGAAUGAGUCUGAUUAUUCUGCCACUUUGUGUUGACAUUAAAGUGCUUUAUCCAG